GAUGAACGCUGGCGGCGUGCCUAAUACAUGCAAGUCGAGCGAACAGACGAGGAGCUUGCUCCUCUGACGUUAGCGGCGGUCGGGUGAGUAACACGUGGAUAACCUACCUAUAAGACUGGGAUAACUUCGGGAAACCGGAGCUAAUACCGGAUAAUAUAUUGAACCGCAUGGUUCAAUAGUGAAAGACGGUUUUGCUGUCACUUAUAGAUGGAUCCGCGCCGCAUUAGCUAGUUGGUAAGGUAACGGCUUACCAAGGCAACGAUGCGUAGCCGACCUGAGAGGGUGAUCGGCCACACUGGAACUGAGACACGGUCCAGACUCCGACGGGAGGCAGCAGUAGGGAAUCUUCCGCAAUGGGCGAAAGCCUGACGGAGCAACGCCGCGUGAGUGAUGAAGGUCUUCGGAUCGUAAAACUCUGUUAUUAGGGAAGAACAAAUGUGUAAGUAACUAUGCACGUCUGGACGGUACCUAAUCAGAAAGCCACGGCUAACUACGU
rnacentral:rRNA from 1 species